ACGCUGGCGGCGUGCCUAACACAUGCAAGUCGAACGAAGCAUUGGAGUUGAUCCCUUCGGGGUGACGCACCUUAUGACUUAGUGGCGGACGGGUGAGUAACACGUGAGCAACCUGCCUCUCAGAGUGGAAUAACAGUUGGAAACGGCUGCUAAUACCACAUAACGUUUUUGUGCCGCAUGACACUUCAACCAAAGAUUUAUCGCUGAGAGAUGGGCUCGCGUCCGAUUAGGUAGAUGGUGGGGUAACGGCCUACCAUGCCGACGAUCGGUAGCCGGACUGAGAGGUUGAUCGGCCACAUUGGGACUGAGACACGGCCCAGACUCCUACGGGAGGCAGCAGUGGGGGAUAUUGCACAAUGGGCGCAAGCCUGAUGCAGCAACGCCGCGUGCGGGAAGACGGCCUUCGGGUUGUAAACCGCUGUCCUUGGGGAAGAAACAAAUGACGGUACCCAAGAAGGAAGCCACGGCUAACUACGUGCCAGCCGCGGC
rnacentral:rRNA from 1 species